rnacentral:lncRNA from 1 species
GGCAGGGGAAAAAUAUCAUUCCUGUCUUUUCCCUGAAGCUCUCCUUUUGACAGAAUGACUGGCUGAGGAGCCACAGGGAUGUGGAGAAACAAAGCGUCCCUCGGUCCUAUGGAAUCUGCUGCUUCUAUUCCAAGGAGAGUACAAACUACGACCUUGGUUGAACACUGGUCUACAGUGGAUACAUGUGCAGACUCUGAAUGAAAUCCCGUGACUUCGAAGCCUUAGUUACUCUGUCAUGUCUGCUUGCCUCAAGGACUGGAAGCUCCAGGAAGAAGAACAAACGCUCACAGGACUCACUGUUCCAUGUCCUCUGACUAACAGCUGGCAUGUUUGAUUAAACGAAUAUCAAAAUUAGAUGAAACUGGCAUAAAAAUGUCCCUCCCGUGUAAGAGUAAUACGUGAGACAAUGAUAAGCUGAACACAAACAGGUCACACUUCUGAAAAAUCCUGGACUGGUUCACACACUGUAAGAUGAGACACAGAAAACCAAAAUGGAAGACACAGAGAGAACAGAGCAUUAAGUCUUUGAUAUUUUUGCUAAGCUUUCCUGUUGCCGUCCAUGGCUAGCAACUUGUCUGCAGUCUCACAGCUUCAAUUCAAUAUUCUAAAAAACUGGCUAAUUUUUGUUCUCUCCUGGUUUCAGGUAUCUUUGCCUGCUAGUCAGACAAUUUCUUGAUGAACAGGCUACUCCAGAGGAUCUUUCCUGGGGCUUGUGGAAUGCUAGUUCAUUUCAAAGCCUGAGUCCUUUGCUAUCUGAGAAAGGUUCAUCUUAUUUCUUUUCAUUUAUCAAAAAACUCCUGGAAUUUACGUGGCCAGAUUCUUAGCCUAGGAUUCCAUUCUUUUUAUCUACACCUUCUCAUCUUUGACACAAGGUCUCACUGGAUAGCCUUGGCUGACCUGGAACCAUUAGACCAGGCUGGCUUGGAACUCACAGAUCCACCUGCCUUUGUUUCCCAACUGCUGUAGUCAAAGUGCCGUGCUACCACUUCCAGCAACAACUCCUUAUUUUUGUUGCCAAAUCUAAUUAAGAACUACUUUAUGUUAAAGCAUUAACAACCAUGCUUGCUAACAUGCUAUUCUUAAGUUACAUAAGUGUGGUGGUUUGAAUAUGCUUGGUCGAUGGGAAGUGGCACUAUUAGGAGCUAUGGCCUUGUUGAAGCGUGUCACUUUGGGGGUGGGCUUUCAGAUCCUGUGCUCCAGCGCUGCCCAUUGUCUAAGAGAGUUUCUCCUGGUUCCUUUUGGAUCAAGAUGCAGAACUCUCAACUCCUACAGGAGCUGCCAUACUUCCUGCCAUGAUGAUAAUGGACUGAACCUCUGAAACUAUGAGCCAACCCCAAGUAAAUGUUUUCUUUAUAAGAGUUGCUUUGGUCAAGGUGUCUCUUCGCUGCAAUGGAAACCCAAAGUAAGACAGAACUUGGUACCAGGGACUAGGGAAUUGCUGUGAUAGGCCUGAUCAUGUGUAAGUAUUUAUUUCAUAUUGUAUUAGAUAUAAGCAUUGCUUGGACAUCUCUGAACACAUUGAUGAAAAAAACACUCUGCAAUAAUGA